UCGAAUGGCUGGUGUGUAUUCUCGCAACUCGUUUUAGAUCAACGUUCAUAAUAAUACGUACGAACGUCUCGUGUCCGAUAGCGAUAGCAAUAAUUCUCGUGAGUCUCAAUCGAAGCCAGAGUGUUAAAGCCUUAGCGAGAAGAGAUAUCGUCAGUUUGGCUUUGCUUCCGUUCAAUUUUAUUUGAUUUUGUUGGUGGUGGUUUAAGUUUAAGUUUAUUUCUUAUUCGUUUUGCUCUCUUCUUCGGCAUCGGCAUCGGUACAUCAACUUCGGCUUUGGCAAGUCCUUCGAGGAUGCUGCAGCAUGCUUUCAAUUUUCUUGUUUGUUUUUCCCUUUUUGAAUCACCUCUUCCAAUCAUCAUCACCUUCAGAGUGUUAAACUUGUUCUCUAGUGUUGUUCUUUGAGCUGUAUCCGCAUAUAAUACAAGUUUACGAGUACCGUUACAAAACGACCGACCCCAAACUCACAAAAAGGCGUUCAAAUUGUCCUGCCUUUACACCCGACCGUCGUCGCACGUUAUCGUCGUAUUCGUCUUGGUCGUCUUAGUCGUUGACGUCCUCAUCGUCAGUGUCGUCAUAGUCAUCUUGCUCGCAGCCCGUCCUGAUAAAUCAGCUCCAUCAUUAUCAAGACGACAAAGCAUCACCAGCAGCAACAUCAACAUCAGCAUCAUCCACUGCCUCCCGCCACCGUAUCCUUUCGUGGUUUGUUUACUCUUUGUGUCGUAGCUCGUAGCCGUAUACACUUAGCUCGUAGGUACUCGUCCUUGUGAUGUGAUGAAGUGAUGAAAGCUCCGAUAAAGAAAGUGUGUCUUUUUUGUUUCUCCUGAAUAAUGUUCAAAGGGCAGAGAUAGUGUGGGAAGGUUUUUGUAAUUUAUGCUUCCCCCAAAUAAAGUUUUUUUUUGGUUUAAGAUAAAAAAGGGUUACUGCACAGGUUAAAGCGGUCUAACCGUAUAACUCGCGUUUUUUCUUUUUUGUCGUGUCCUUUUUUGUAAUUCCGUUUGUAAUAGAUACGUUUUGGGACUUGGCAACGGGAACAGGAACUCGGUGUGGUGUGAUGAUGGUGUGCUAAGUUGUGCGUGUGACAAAUACAAUUUGGUUUUUUCUUUGUCGCGUUGGUUGGAAGUUUUUAUGUCAUCGAGACGAUUGUGUUUCUAUUAACCAUUAUCACCAUUACCCAGGACCCACCCGGUUACCGUUAGUGAUGGGGGAUGUGUGCGAUAACCUGUAAAAUAAUUUUUUUUUGUGAGCUGAUAUAUUUUUGUUGUUGUCCUGUUUAAUUCGUGUUGUUUUUCAGUUUGAAAUUGAAUUUUCCCAAAUUCAAAUUUAAUUGUCAAUUCACAGUGAAAAAGGGUGUGAGAACCGCGUAAAAUACAGAUACAAGAAAAAAAAGGGAUUAAAAAAGUCGUAAAAAAAGUCAUUUGUGCUUUCUCACGAUAUCCUUUACCUUUUUUUCGAAUUCAUUUGAUUGGGAAUUAGUGAAGAUAACUUACAUAUAAUAAAAAAAAGUAAAAAAGAAAACAUUUUUGGAAUUUUUUCACUUUGACUUCCAAGGACACAUUCAUCAUCUUAUUGUAGUCCUUGUCGGCGACAAAGUUUUUGAGUCGGUGGCGUUAUCUUCGGUGUUCCUCGUACCUUCACAACCUACAACAAUAGUGUUUUAGUACCUAAGGUUGGAUCCAAAAGGAUUUUAUUGAAUUUCCUUCAAUAUUUCUUCGCAUAUAAUAAAACGAAAGGAAAAAAGAAAGGAAGAAUAAAACCAGGUCAACUACCUAUCUACUACCUUCCAGCACAUACAUAGAUAGAUAGAUUGGAGUUUGAGGAAUCGAAGCUCCAAUAUUGCAUCAAGUGAUCAGCAACAGAAUAUACCUUAAAAGGAUUACGAGCAUCAGGACAUAGU